CGUGGGUAACCUGCCCAAGAGAUCGGGAUAACACCUGGAAACAGAUGCUAAUACCGGAUAACAACAGAUGAUGCCUAUCAACUGUUUAAAAGAUGGUUCUGCUAUCACUCUUGGAUGGACCUGCGGUGCAUUAGCUAGUUGGUAGAGUAACGGCCUACCAAGGCGAUGAUGCAUAGCCGAGUUGAGAGACCGAUCGGCCACAUUGGGACUGAGACACGGCCCAAACUCCUACGGGAGGCAGCAGCC
rnacentral:rRNA from 1 species